UGCAAGUCGAACGCAGUAGCAAUACUGAGUGGCAAACGGGUGAGUAUAAUGUGGGAAUCUGCCUUUUGGUUUGGAAUAACACGGGGAAACUUGUGCUAAUACCGAAUAAGCCCUUACGGGGAAAGUUUUAACGCCGAAAGAUGAGCCUGCACUUGAUUAGCUAGUUGGUAAGGUAAAAGCUUACCAAGGCAACGAUCAAUAGCUGUUCUUAGAGGAAGACCAGCCACAUUGGGACUGAGACACGGCCCAGACUCCUACGGGAGGCAGCAGUGGGGAAUCUUGCACAAUGGGGGAAACCCUGAUGCAGCGAUGCCGCGUGAGUGAAGAAGGCCCUUGGGUUGUAAAACUCUUUCGUCGGGGAAGAAAAUGACUGUACCCGAAUAAGAAGGUCCGGCUAACUUCGUGCCAGCAGCCGCGGUAAUACGAAGGGACCUAGCGUAGUUCGGAAUUACUGGGCUUAAAGAGCUCGUAGGUGGUUAAAAAAGUUGAUGGUGAAAUCCCAAGGCUCAACCUUGGAACUGCCAUCAAAACUUUUUAGCUAGAGUGUGAUAGAGGUAAGUGGAAUUUCUAGUGUAGAGGUGAAAUUCGUAGAUAUUAGAAAGAACACCAAAUGCGAAGGCAACUUACUGGGUCACUACUGACACUGAGGAGCGAAAGCAUGGGUAGCGAAGAGGAUUAGAUACCCUCGUAGUCCAUGCCGUAAACGAUGUGUACUAGACGUUGGAAAUAUAUUUUUCAGUGUCGCAGCGAAAGCAUUAAGCACACCGCCUGUGAGUACGACCGCAAGGUUAAAACUCAAAUGAAUUGACGGGGACCCGCACAAGCAGUGGAGCAUGUGGUUUAAUUCGAAGAUACGCGCAGAACCUUACCAACACUUGACAUGUUCGUCGCGAGACUAAGAGAUUAGUCUUUUCAGUUUGGCUGG
rnacentral:rRNA from 1 species